ACGGGUCGCUGGCGGCGUGCCUACACAUGCAAGUUGAGCGUGAAGUUUAUAUUGAUUCUUCGGAUGAUUUAUAAAUGGAAAGCAGCGGACGGGUGAGUAACGCGUGGAUAACCUGCCCUAUACUCCAGGAUAACAUACCGAAAGGUAUGCUAAUACUGGAUAAUAUACAUUAGUCGCAUGGCUUUUGUAUCAAAGAUUACGGUAUAGGAUGGAUCCGCGUUCCAUUAGUUAGUUGGUGGGGUAAAGGCCUACCAAGGCGACGAUGGAUAGCCGACCUGAGAGGGUGAUCGGCCACACUGGAACUGAGACACGGUCCAGACUCCUACGGGAGGCAGCAGUGGGGAAUAUUGCACAAUGGGCGAAAGCCUGAUGCAGCAACGCCGCGUGAGCGAUGAAGGCCUUCGGGUCGUAAAGCUCUGUCCUAAAGGAAGAAUUUUUGACGGUACUUUAGGAGGAAGCCCCGGCUAAUUACGUGCCAGCAGCCGCGGUAAUACGUAAGGGGCUAGCGUUAUCCGGAAUUACUGGGCGUAAAGGGUACGUAGGCGGUUUAUUAAGUCAGGGGUGAAAGGCUACGGCUCAACCGUAGUAAGCCUUUGAAACUGAUAAACUUGAGUAUGGUAGAGGAAAGUGGAAUUCCUGGUGUAGCGGUGAAAUGCGUAGAUAUCAGGAGGAACAUCGAUGGCGAAGGCAGCUUUCUGGGCCAUUACUGACGCUGAGGUACGAAAGCGUGGGGAGCGAACAGGAUUAGAUACCCUGGUAGUCCACGCCGUAAACGAUGAGUGCUAGGUGUUGGGGGUCGAACCUCGGUGCCGCAGUUAACGCAUUAAGCACUCCGCCUGGGGAGUACGCUCGCAAGAGUGAAACUCAAAUGAAUUGACGGAAGGGC
rnacentral:rRNA from 1 species